UGUUAUGAUGACAACCCUGUAUAGGAAGCGCCGUCCGAUGCGAGAACUGACGAUUGGGGUUCUCUGAAC